CCGCGGGAUUAGAGUUUGAUCCUGGCUCAGAGCGAACGCUGGCGGCAGGCUUAACACAUGCAAGUCGAGCGGGCGUAGCAAUACGUCAGCGGCAGACGGGUGAGUAACGCGUGGGAACAUACCUUUUGGUUCGGAACAACACAGGGAAACUUGUGCUAAUACCGGAUAAGCCCUUACGGGGAAAGAUUUAUCGCCGAAAGAUUGGCCCGCGUCUGAUUAGCUAGUUGGUGAGGUAAUGGCUCACCAAGGCGACGAUCAGUAGCUGGUCUGAGAGGAUGAUCAGCCACAUUGGGACUGAGACACGGCCCAAACUCCUACGGGAGGCAGCAGUGGGGAAUAUUGGACAAUGGGCGCAAGCCUGAUCCAGCCAUGCCGCGUGAGUGAUGAAGGCCCUAGGGUUGUAAAGCUCUUUUGUGCGGGAAGAUAAUGACGGUACCGCAAGAAUAAGCCCCGGCUAACUUCGUGCCAGCAGCCGCGGUAAUACGAAGGGGGCUAGCGUUGCUCGGAAUCACUGGGCGUAAAGGGUGCGUAGGCGGGUUUUUAAGUCAGAGGUGAAAUCCUGGAGCUCAACUCCAGAACUGCCUUUGAUACUGAAGAUCUUGAGUUCGGGAGAGGUGAGUGGAACUGCGAGUGUAGAGGUGAAAUUCGUAGAUAUUCGCAAGAACACCAGUGGCGAAGGCGGCUCACUGGCCCGAUACUGACGCUGAGGCACGAAAGCGUGGGGAGCAAACAGGAUUAGAUACCCUGGUAGUCCACGCCGUANACGAUGAAUGCCAGCCGUUAGUGGGUUUACUCACUAGUGGCGCAGCUAACGCUUUAAGCAUUCCGCCUGGGGAGUACGGUCGCAAG
rnacentral:rRNA from 1 species